AUGUUACAGGAUAAAAACCCAGAUGAAGGGGACAGAUUGUAUUACAGGAUCUUUGGCUCUGGAACUAAACUGAUUGUAACAGAUGAGCCGGUAGUGAAGCCCGUGGUGAGCGUGUACCCAGCAGCAUCCAGAGCCCACCUGGAGGGGAAGAGCUCCCUGCUGUGUCUGGCCUCAGCUAUGUUUCCUCCUCUGGUGAAGUUCUCCUGGAAAAGACGAAAUGGGAAUGGUCCUCUGGAGGAGCUGCCCUCUGAUGAGGGAGAGCAGCUGGAGAUCAGAGAGUCUGGACGCACCGCCUCCAUCUUGCUGAUCCAUCAGCAAGUUAACAAAAACUACAAAUACCACUGCUACGUCCACCAUGAGGGGGGCACAGUGGAGGCCCAAACAGAACAAGAGGUUCCAGCUCCAGCAGCCUCCUGUCCUCCAGAGAGAGAUCCACCAGACCAGCUAGCUCUGGAGGAAGCUGACUUGUCCUUCCAGUUUCAGUGCAGGGUGAAGUUGUUCUGUCUGCUGUACACACAGCUGAUAGUGAAGAGUCUGGUGUACUGCUGUGGACUCUCUCUGCUGAUGAUCCUCAGAAACAAGGGACCGUCCACCAACUGCAAAUGUUCUGACUGACUGUUUUCUAGUCGACUUUUCUCGCCAUCGAAUCUCAUCAAUUCAUCUCAUUUAUCACUUUGAUCAGUAUUCACAAAUAUCAAUUAUGACUUGCUGUAGUUGUCAUCUGACCCAUAUAAAUACAUAUAUCUUAGCAGUUACUACGUUUCAAUUCUGUGGUGUUAUUAGAUACUAUAGUUUAUUUCUAAUCUUUUAAUUGUGACUUGUAUAAUGAUAGAUAAUUUGAAUAAUCAGCUGUCUGGUAGAUAUUCUAUAGUUCAUAGUAUUUUUUCUGUUCUUGUGUUUAUCUGUAAUACAUUAUGCAGAGUGUGGCAGCUUUGUCAAUUUUUUUCAGUGUAACAGUCUUAAUGAACGUA